ACAUACAUUGUUUAGUGGAUAGGACGGAGGUUUUCUAAACCUUUGGUAUAGGUUUAAAUCCUAUUGAAUGCA
rnacentral:tRNA from 1 species